AAUAAUCUUAUUUUUCGUUUUUCCGUGUACAAUGUUUGACCGUUCGUCUUAUUUGAAAUUUUUUUGCGAUUAAUAUUUUUAUUAUUACUAGACGAUAAAAUAUAAAUAGUAUUUAUACGUGACUAUUUUUUUUGAUUUUUGCACUAAUUUUUAAAUAAGACAAAUAGUCAAACGUUGGAUACGAAAAA
rfam:Oryza brachyantha chromosome 2, whole genome shotgun sequence.